CAUGCGUCAUGGCCGGUCCGGGUUCCAGUCCUGGGCAGCGGGACUCUAGAUUCUUUGAAAGUGUGAGGCUGUAACAUAUAACUGGUUUUUAUUCCCAACCCCUAAUGGUUAGGGACAAGAUUAAAUGGUGAAUGGAAAUAAGCCAAAAUAACACCGAAAAUCAUAAUACACCCUAUAACACCGAAAUGCAAGUUAAUACACCAUAAAGCACCAAAAUGCUAAAAGAAUUGAUGAUUAUUAGAGCCACUGAAAUUUCACGGAUUCAUUUAGUCGCAAGCUAGAAUGCAAACCUCCACACUGUCGCACUGUGUUCAUGAUUGGACCGCAGUUAUCUGGACACGCCUCUCUACGACCGUGAGCCAACGAUGUCCAGCUAGGAGAGAAGUAAGCGAAUCAGGUAGUGCCAAAUAACAAGGAUAAAAAUUUUCUCGCUAAGAAAUCAACCAAUGGGAAAGUAAACAUGGGUCGAGCACACCUAUAACUUUGAAUUCUAUCCUGAGGCCAGAGGAAUCUGCGAAAUUUCCGGGACUCUAAUGAUUAUCAACUCAGAUUACAAAAAUGUAAUCUUUUACUAUAUCUAAUCCAAUGAAUGUAAAUUAUUAAGCAUAAUCAAAAUGUAUGUAAUAAAUAGAUUGUUUUUUUUUUUGUUUUUUUAAAUUAAUACAACUGUUAUUACUUAUUAGUAACUAGGGAUGGGUCGGGUCGGUUCUUCGGGUACUCGGUUCACCGGUUCUGCGCCCCCGAACCGGAACCGUUUUCGGGUACUGAAAAGAUCGGUUCUUCAAAGAUAAGGGGUGAAGGUUCAUUUUCACAACACUUCAAAUUUAAAGCACAACCGUUCGGCAUAAUUGUUAAGGCGUGUUUUAGCUCACAGUGUUUUAUUUAAUGAUGUUUUCUAUUAUAAACUGUAUGAAUAUUUAUAAUAAAUAGGUAAAUAAAACAUUCCGCAUAUCUAAAAUAGGGAGACGUUACCGUACGUACAUACCUCAGGCGUGACAAUGCGCCUAAGAAAAUGGAUGCAUUCACAUCCAUAACUAUGUUCUAUAUUAUAUUUAGUGCCGGGAUCACUUUAUUCUGUAUGUAAAUGUAGGACAAUACAGAUAAUUGAAAAAAUUUCCGUCUUGGUCAUACUGUUAUUUACGUUUAGUUAAUAUUGCGCGGCUACGGCUACGCUGCCAUGUUUUUGUAAACAUUGUGACCAAUUUGCCAUAUGGAUUACAUAACUUAUACGUUUUAAUAAUAAUUAACGGUAAACGUUAUUUUAGCAUUCCAGAAUUAAAACAUAAUGUUUUAAAUGUAAUUAAAAAUUAAAGUAAACAAUUAACACCCUUUUAGGUGUUACUUUAACACGAUACUUAUUUUACAGUAAUUUUUAUUUUACAGUAAUUUUAUUUUACAGUAAUUCGAUUAUACCGGGAGGUUGGUACACAGCCAGAACUUAGAUGUUUUGUUUUGGCUACGGUCGUGGUUUGGAGGAUAAAUACUUUGUGUUAUUGGCACGUGAAUUAAUAAAGGAAUAUUUUCAGCUUUGUGCAUGCGGAGUUUAUUUCGUUGCGGUAAUGUCGUCUGUGUGGGAACAUUUUGUUCUUGAUCCAGACGAGAAGUUUGCUAUAUGCGAACAUUGUGGAGCUAGAAUUUCUAGAGGUGUAUGGAAAUCUACGUCAAAUUUAAUUAAACAUCUUCGCGGUCAACACAGUGACAAAUAUAGUAAUGAAAAACAAGACAAAAAUAAAAGAAAUGCGCCACCUUCACAACAGAGUCUUAGUAAAUUGUUUAAGUCACAUGGCGACAUAACCUCUUCUGAGGCAGGUGAGAAUUCAAAUUCAGCAAAGGAACAAUUUUCUGCAUCUACUUAUUCAUCAUUGCCUUCAUCCGCAUCAACUUCAGGUGUUGUAUCACGAGGACCUACCAAGUGUAGGCCUAAAGUGUAUAUGAGCUCUAGGCAACAAACAAUAACAGAUAGUUUUGACAAGCAAACCAAAUUUCCUCGUGGAGACAAGCGGCAAACAGACAUUGUAAAGUUGAUUGCCAAAAUGAUUUGUGUAGAUGGGCAGCCAAUUUCUGUCAUAGAAAACAGAGGUUUCAAGGAACUGGUGAACCAUUUAGAACCUCGUUUUUCAAUGCCUUCUCGUAAAAGUUUGGCAAAUGAAGUCAUUCCUCAGAUGUACAAUGAUGUUCUGAAUGAAGUUAAGGACAAAUUGAGCAUAGAGGAAUAUGUUGCCUUAACCACAGAUCUAUGGACAUCGGUAUCCAAUGAUGAUUAUUUGAGCUUGACAGUUCAUUAUUUAGAUCAAAAUUUUAUUUGGCAUCACCUGUGUGUGGAAGUUGUGCCAUUUCCAGAAGUAAGCCACACUGCUGAUAAUAUUUGUUCAUUCAUAACAGAGGUGUUGGCAGAUUGGCAACUUUCAGAAAAAGUGGUGGCAAUUCUGAGAGACAAUGGCCGUAACAUAACAGCAGGUCUGGAGCAGUCUGCAUUUGUUCAUGUAGCAUGUAUAGCACACACACUGCAGUUAGUGUUGAAGGAUGGCUUAUUAAGCCAUAAAAUUGUUACCAACUUGUUGCCUCAAUGUAGGAGGCUUGUAGGUCACUUCAAGCACUCAGCACGUGCUACGAAGAUAUUAAAACAGUGCCAAACAACAGCUAGUGUACCUCAGCAUAGGCUUAUCCAGGAUGAGCCUACACGCUGGAAUAGCACGUUGCACAUGCUAAAAAGGCUACAGGAGCAGAAAAGGGCUAUUUUGUUGUCAAGUGGAGAGCUGAAUUUACCAGAACUGACAGGCCAGCAGUGGACACUGAUUGAAAACUUAAUUCCUAUCUUGGAUGUUUUUGAUUCUGCGACACUCCAAGUCAGCUCACCAAGUGUAACAGCUUCAGAGGUAUGUUGAAAUUAAAAUGGUUUGUCAGACAAAAUUGAAUGCCAUAGGAUGAUGUAGGCCUAAUUUUUUUUUUUUCAAAUAUAUUUUUGCAGGUUAUUCCAUUAGUUCAUGUCCUAGAUAAUGAGCUUCAGAAAGAUGCACCAGUUGGAUCGGGUCUUCAAGGGGUGAAAAAUGACCUGUUGGCCUCACUGAAAAUAAGGUACAUGGAAAUGGAGGACGAUAAACUACUGGCAUCUGCAACUCUACUAGAUCCCAGAUUUAAAACCAACCCUUUUCGAAAUGUACAAAAAAUGGAGAUUGCAAAAACUUUAUUGCUGCUUGAAGCAAAGCAGCUUCUGAAAACAGAUGUAAGUAAUGCUAAAAUUUAAAUUUUUUUGUUGGGCAGUGAACAUUAUACACAACUGUCCUAAUUUUCUUCUGUUUUUUUUACUAUAUUUUUUCAGGACAGUUGUGAGACAGCCACAAAUGAAUCUGCCUUCCAGCCAACUACUAGUACAAGCAGCAUGGACAUGUGGUCUCGAUAUAGUGAUCUGUUUAGCAAAUCCUCCGAGGAAAAAAGGACUGACGGCACCAUUGAAAAUGAAUUCAGUCUAUUUUUUUCUGAAAAUACUUCACCAGCCAACACCAACAUAUUCGAAUACUGGAAAAAUUGCAAAACAUUUCCAACUAUGAGAAUACUUGCUAGAAAGUACCUGUGUGUGCCACCUUCCACAGUAUUUAGUGAAAGGCUUUUUAGCACUGCAGCAUACAUUUGUGAUAAAAAACGCAAUCGCUUGGAUCCUGAUAGGGUCAAAAUGCUUGUUUUCUUAAACAAAAAUCUUAAGUGAUUCAUUUCAUUCAAUUGAGCAUGAUAAUUUCCUAUGUAAUUGAUAUCGGAAUAGACCAUUUUGUAUAAAAUACUCCCAAUGACUAAUGAGACAUUAAAAUCAGAGUUGUUACGAUACCCUGAUACCAGCAUUUUAUAUUUUUAGUAUUUUUACAUGCCAAUACUAUUGUGCAGUAAUGUAAAUAAAUAAAAAAAAAGAAUCCAAAUUUAAAAAAUCCUUUUAUGAUUACUACACUAUUAAAAAAGACACGCAGUAAUAAUUGAAAAGAAUCAUAAGAACGAAUCUUUAGAACUAAUCUUUAUACUGAACUGAUUCAAAUGAAUUGAUUCGGUCAAAAGAAUCGUUCUGCCCAUCACUAGUUUACGUGUUAGAAUAGAAAAAAGCAACAACGUUUCUGUUGCAAUGGUUUAAAAUGCAUUGCUGCCAACUGCGUUAAAAAUAUAUUUCUAAUGUACGCCAUAUUUACAUGGUUAUGUUGCUUUAAAACUUAUUUUAACAAGAGCCCCGUAAUCCACCGUUAUUUUUGUAAAGGCCGCAUUUACAACUCAUUUACUGCCAAAAAAAUUAAAAUUUAAAGGGAUGAGAGAUAAAAUAAAAGUAAUUUUUGCGAUGUCACCACAGGUUUCGUUCAUGGCCGUAUGGUUUACCGUGGCACAUGGUACAAAAAAAAUGUAGGUUGUUUACAUUAGCAAACUAAGCUGCCGCGUCAAAAAUAUGCAGUUACCUGCAUUAAAUAAACGACAUUCACACUAUUCACUUUCAAAUUAUGGCUUAGUUUCACGUUUGCUGAUGGUUUGGUGUUAAAUGCAGUGCUGUUGCUACGUAAACUGCGGGAAAUGCUUUCUCAUAAAGCGGGAAAGUAACGCAUUAAUACAAUGUGGAAAAUGAUGGUGCAAGUAAACAAACAAGUUAAUCACGGGAAUUCGUAAAUUAUGGUUGGGUCAUGAAGUCGGCCUGAAACUAAAUGAAGCCCUUCAGUUGGCGCUACAAAAAGAAGAGGCACUGGGUCCGAAGAGAGAGAAGUUUGGCUUCCUUAAGUAACUAGGUUAUUUUCCUAAGGAAGUAAAUAAUUUGUACACCAUAUAUAAACAUAAAACAAAGUUUUUAUUAAGGCACAAAGAAA